UACAGAGGGGGCAAGCGUUAUUCGGAAUUAUUGGGCGUAAAGAGCUCGUAGGCGGUCUGUUGCGUCCGCUGUGAAAACUCGGGGCUUAACCCCGAGCCUGCAGUGGAUACGGGCAGACUAGAGGUAGGUAGGGGAGAAUGGAAUUCCCGGUGUAGCGGUGAAAUGCGCAGAUAUCGGGAGGAACACCGGUGGCGAAGGCGGUUCUCUGGGCCUUACCUGACGCUGAGGAGCGAAAGUGUGGGGGAGCGAACAGG
rnacentral:rRNA from 1 species